rnacentral:lncRNA from 1 species
CUCAACUCACUGCAGCCUUGAGCUCUCAGGCUCAAGUGACCCUCCCACCCUAGCCUCCCAAGUAGCUAGGACCACAGGCUUGUGCCAUCACAACUGGCUAAUUUUUGAAUUUUGGAGAGAUGGGGUCUCCCUGUGUUGCCCAGGUCUUGAACUCCUGGGCUCAAGCAAUCCUCCUGCCUCGGCCUUCCAAAGUGCUGAGAUUGCAGGCAUGAGCUACCAUGCUUGGCCAAGGGUGUGUGACCUCUGAUGCUGGAUUAUAAAAGGCAUUGCAGCUUCUGCUGUGCUCUCUUCGCUUGCUCACUCUGAGGAAAGCUAGCAGCCAUCCUGUGAGGACAGUCAAGCAGUUCUGUACAGAGGCCCAUGUGGAGAAAAACAGGCAUCCUGCCAUCAAUCAGCAGCAACCUGCCAAUCAUGAAAGUGAGCCACUGUCCGGGGACAACUUAUCCACAUUCAUGGCAAUGUACUGAAGAAAUAUAUAUUGAGCACCAACUAUGAACCAGGCACCAGGACACACCAAGAACACAUUGUUCAUGAUGCAGAGAAGAAACACUUGCAUAACAACUAUAUAUUGUGGUAACUGUUCUACUAAAGAUUAAUGUGAAUUACCAGGAAAGCAGAAAGAAGGGAAUGACACGUCUGAGAAGUCUUCAUAAAAGUACAUUGCUAAAGGAUGACCAAAAUGUUCAAAGGUGAAAAUGACAAUUUCAGGCAAAGAGAACAAUUGAUGCAAAGGCAUGUAAUUACGACACAGCAUAGCAUGUCUAGAAAAGGACAAGAAGUUUGGUGUGGAGCAAUUAGGGGAGUGCAAGGAGAUGCAAAGAUACACAGCUGGAGAUAAAGUGGGUGCUGUGGAAAGUCUUCUAAGCCCUGCUAAUGAGUUUCAAAUUUAUUCACUAUGCAUUGAAAGCCAUUGAAAGGGGUUAAGCAAGAAAGAGACAUGAUCAUAUUUGUAUUUUUAUUUAUGUUUUUUCUUUCUUUCUUUCUUUCUUUUUUUUUUUUUUUUUUUUUUUUUUGAGGCGGAGUCUCACUCUGUCACCAGGCUGGAGUGCAGUGGCACAAUCUCGGCUCACUGCAACCUCCGACUCCCUGGUUGAAGGGAUUCUCCUGCCUCAGGCUCCCUAGAAGCUGGCAUUACAGGCACGCACCACCACGCCCAACUAAUUUUUGUAUUUUUAGUAGAGACGGGGUUUCACCAUGUUAGCCAGAAUGGUCUUAAUCUCCUGACCUCGUGAUCUGCCCGCCUCGGACUCCCAAAGUGCUGGGAUUACAGGCAUGAGCCACCGCGCCCGGCCCAUAUUUGUGUUUUUUUUUGUUUGUUUUUUUGUUUUUUUGUUUUUCUCUGAGACGGAGUCCUGCUCUGUCACCCAGGCUGGAGUGCAGUGGCUCAAUCUGGGCUCACUGCAAGCUCCGCCUCCCGGGUUCCCGCCAUUCUCCUGCCUCAGCCUCCUGAGUAGCUGGGACUACAGGCGCCCGCCACCACGCCCGGCUAAUUUUUUGUAAUUUUAGUAGAGACAGGGUUUCACAGUGUUAGCCAGGAUGGCCGAUCUCCUGACCUCAUAAUCCGCCCGCCUCGGCCUCCCAAAGCGCUGGGAUUACAGGCGUGAGCCACCGCGCCCGGCCCCAUAUUUGUAUUUUAAAAUGACCCCUUUGGUAACCGUGUGGCUAUUUCCCCGCUAGGACUUAAGCAGGUAAGAUGCAUUUCAAUAAUCCAGGUGAGAAGUGAUAGGAGCCUAAACUAAGAGAGUGGCAGUAGGAGACGAAGAGGAAAGAUAGAUUCAAGAGGCAGAAUUUAUCAGAUCUAUGAGCAAAAGAAUGUAGGAGGUAAAAAGAGGGAACAAUCAAAGUCCAAAGUUUUGAGUCUAGUCAGCUAGUUGGACAUUGAUACCAAUAAAUAAAAAAAAAAAGAAUAUGAGACAAGAAUGAGAGGGAUGAGGCAAGGGGAAGGAAGAAAAUAUCUUUUUCAGAUAUGUUGAGUUUGAAGAGUCCAUUGAGAUAUCCAAGAGCAGAUGCCUUGUGAGCAGUUGAAUAUAAGAGUAUGGAGCCUGGAAAUAAGUGUGGGUCAAGGCCGGGUACGGUGGCUCACGCCUGUAAUCCCAGCACUUUGAGAGGCCGAGGUGGGUGGUUCACGAGGUCAGGAGAUCAAGACCAUCCUGGCCAACAUGGUGAAACCCCGUCUCUACUAAAAAUACAAAAAUUAGCUGGGAGUGGUGGCGGGCGCCUGUAAUCCCAGCUACUCAGGAGGCUGAGGCACGAGAAUCGCUUGAACCCAGGAGGCAGAGGUUGCAGUGAGCCGAGAUUGCGUCACUGCACUCCAGCCUGGGAGACAGAGCAAGACUCUGUCUCAAAAAAAAAAAAAAGAAAGAAAGAAAUGUGGGCGCUAAAGCCAUCACAAAGUGACAGCUUCAAUGUUGAAAGGAAAUGAAAUCCGGAUAAUAUAGGAUGGAAAGUAUCUACUUUCAUCAAGAAAUUCAAAAUUUCCUCCAAUAUUCUACUCUCAAAAACUGAGUCCUAUAUUGUCAUCUACUUAUUAGAUUUUCCAUUUGGACAUCCUACCAUCACCUCAAAUAUGAAUGAAUCUAAUGAUAUUAUAGGUCAAAAAUGGUUGAAUAUUGGAAUUAUACAAUGUUUCAACAUUAAUAAUUAGCAUUUCACAGCUGUAUUAUCACAGCAGUGUCCUGGAUUCCUUACCUCCUAGCUCAUCUUAUAAUUCAUAUUGUCAAAUGUUUCUCCAAACCCGUUCUUCACAUCUUACUCCCCUGUUCAAAACCCUUUAGAGGUGCCCUAUUAAUUACUACAGCCAAGCUAAGCCCCACCCUCACCUUCCAUUGCUUCUUAACAUUAUUCUCCACCUAAUAGGGCUGGGCUCAUCAAUGUCCUGUGAACCAACCCACAAUGUUCAUUCCAUUCUAAGCUCAUGCUGACCCAUUACCUGGAAUUUCCUACUCUUGGCUUAUCUAAAUCUGGUCUAAAAGAACUUUUAAAACAGUGUCUCUCAGUUUUCUUUUUUUUUUUUGAGAUGGAGUCUCGCUCUGUGCCAGGCUGGAGUGCAAUGGCAUGAUCUCUGCC